rnacentral:rRNA from 1 species
UGGGGAAUAUUGGGCAAUGGGCGCAAGCCUGACCCAGCAACGCCGCGUGAAGGAAGAAGGCUCUCGGGUUGUAAACUUCUUUUAAGAGGGACGAAACAAAUGACGGUACCUCUUGAAUAAGCCACGGCUAACUACGUG